rnacentral:rRNA from 1 species
AAUGAACGUUGGCGGCGUGGAUUAGGCAUGCAAGUCGUACGAGAAUCGUAGCAAUACGAGGAAAGUGGCGGAAGGGAGAGGAUUACGUGGGAAUCUACCCUCAGAACUGGGAUAGCGGCGGGAAACUGCCGGUAAGACCAGAUAAUGUCUGUGGACCAAAGGUGUGAAUCCGGUUGGGGAUGAGCCCACGUCCUAUUAGCUAGUUGGCAGGGGAAUGGCCUACCAAGGCAAUGAUGGGUAGCGGGUGUGAGAGCAUGACCCGCCUCACUGGGACUGAGAACUGCCCAGACACCUACGGGUGGCUGCAGUCGAGAAUCUUCGGCAAUGAGCGCAAGCUUGACCGAGCGACGCCGCGUGCGGGAUGAAGGCCUUCGGGUUGUAAACCGCUGUCGUAGGGGAGCAAGAGAUGAGGGUACUCCCUCUGAUUUGAGCGAUCCUAGGAGGAAGGACGGGCUAAGUUCGUGCCAGCCGCCGCAGUAACAC